CCCAGCAGCCCCGACGAGCGGAUGGCAGAGCCGUCGCUCCCCCGCUCCGGUGCCGCCUCGCGGCCCCGUUUUCCGAUAAAGGCCCCGGGAACGAGCGGGAGUCGCGACACCCCGCGAGAAACGCACGCACCUUUCGGAGGAUGAAUGGAGGGCUGCUGGCUCGGUUCUUACAUGGGGUUAGCUCCCAGGUAACGCUGAACGCCUGGACUUUCUGUUCUCCGAGUGAAAUGCAACCUUGGAAAACGGCGGGUGCUGCUGCCCCGCUGGGCUCUGGGCAGGAGCGCUUCGCUGUGACCGGAGCAGAGAGAUGGGACGCUGGACUUGACUUGCUGUGAGGCUGCGGGGCUGGCGUGUCUCCUUGAGCAGCGGGUGUUUGAAGUGCCAGUUGGGGUAGUUACAACGACUGUGCAAGCCGGCACGGGCAGGACGCAGGAACAACCGCAGAACCACGGAUGAAAUGCAAAGAGUAGAUUUAUUGUCGUUACCUCACCAGCUGGGGGAUCCCUGAUACCUGGGCGCAGGCAGACGAGUGGGGACACAGGCACUGCUGAGCUCAGCCCGUGCUAGGGGACUGCCGCCCCUGCUGUUUUCACCAGUUUAUCAGGGAUUCGCGUAGGUGUAAUGUACCACUGUGCUUCGAUCCUUCCCACAGCAGGACAGGAAUCUCAAGCGUGUUCGGCAGGGUGCCUCUAAGUCUAUCGCAGGUCUGCGUUACCUAAACACAGAUGUUCUACUUGUCAAGCACGUGAGGAUAAAUAGCAAUUGGGACGAUAUAUGUGCUCUUCUGCACCCCAGCUGCAAGUCACUUGAGCAUGUUUACAAUCCUCCUCGCCAAUCAUCCGUUAUUAUCCCAUGUUCCGCUCCCUCGCUCGAGGGACCGCUUCCGCUGGGGCUGGCAAAGCUGGAGGUGUCCACUUGGGCUUGCAGGGUGUAGGGCAGGGUAAUGUAGAGGCGCGUAAUGAACCCAUAUAGAAAAAGGCAUAAACUUAUCCCUACAAUAAUGCUUUGAAUCGGGUGUCCCACCCAUCCUGCCAGGGAAUUAAACUGCUCAGCCAGCCAGGCACCACUGGUAGAUUGUUUCAUUUGACGUGUUACGUCCUGGAGAUGUUGAAUGUCAUCCUCUAUGCUGGGUAUUCAUCAGUUAUGUUGGAGCAACACAUGCCUUCAAGAUUGGAGCAGCGUUUAUGGUGUAGAAGAAGGAGAUAGCCCACCGCCAGUUGAUUUCGUAAUGUUUCUGGGCAUACAGCCGUUACCUACUCAGAAAAAAUAGCAAUGAGGAACAUUAAUAUCAAAAGCACUUAACACAGUAUAGUUCUGUAAUACAGCCACUGGAGUUGGCAUGCCGAUAAAACACAUUGUCAAAA